AGUGAACGCUGGCGGUAGGCCUAACACAUGCAAGUCGAACGGCAGCAAAGUAUGAGCUUGCUCUUACGGGUGGUGAGUGGAGGACGGGCGAGGAAUACAUUGGAACGUACUUUAUCGUGGGGGCUAAAGUAGGGAAACUUACGCAAAUACCGCAUAUGACCUAUGGGUGUAAGCCGGGGAAUUUCGCACUUUGCGAGAUUGUAUGAGCCGAUGUUGGAUUAGCUAGUUGUCGGGGUAAAGGUCCACCAAGGAGACGACCAGUAAAUGGUCUGAGAGGAAGAGCAGCGACGCUGGAACUGGGGCGCGGUCCAGACUCCUACGGGAGGCAGAAGUGGGAGAUAUUGGACGAUGGCCGCAGUCCUGAACCAGGCAUACCGCGUGAAUGAAUGAGGCCUUCGGGUUGUGAAACCCUUUUGUUGUGAAAGAAAUACAACAGGUUAGUACCCCGCUAUUCUGACGGUACCCUAAGAAUAAGCUCCGGCUAACUUCGUG
rnacentral:rRNA from 1 species